ACAGCAGCCUCAGCAGACUAAGACAAACAGCAGAGAAGUAACAAGGGACUUUACAAACAUCAGUUCAUGAAGUCCUCAUUACAACAUAAGGCAAGUUCCACUUUCAGAAGAGGAAAUGGGGCCCACAGAAGCUCAGGACCUGCCCAGAGUCACAUAACAGAGACGGGACUGGAGACUCAGCACUGGGCCAUGUCAUCCUCGCUGUGCUCCCUCCCUGCGCUCUGCUAGGGGGCACUGAGCGUUCUUCAUGCCCCAUCAGGAAUCCAUUCUGCGAAAGAAUUAAUUUUUAAAACAUGACACCAUUAAACAAGCAGCCAGCUACUUCAACACAAGACACCAACCAGAAGACGAGGCGAGCCUCAGGCAUCUUCAAAGGAGGGUGAUUGGAAGCGAGUCCCGGUACGAGGCCAGGCCCGGAGCCCACGGAGGUCAGGAAGAAGAUGGGGAGGACCAGGGCUCACUAGUGGCCAGAAGAGGAGGAAGGGAAAGAGAAAGGAAGCAUUCAGCAUGGAAGUGGACCUUGGUUAUAACCCAACAACAUCAUCCCACCAACGAGGAACCAGGCCUGCAGAGUUGGCAACCUCCAAGAUCAGACAGGGAUCUUGCUAAGUUGCUGAGGCUGGCCUUGAACUUGUGAUCCACCUGCCUUAGCCUGCCGAGUUGCUGGGAUUACCGGCCUGUGCCACCACACCCAGCUCCAGUUUUCUAAUUUGAAUAAAAGGAAGCCACUGUCCUGGACUCUCGAUGCUAUGGAAGAAAGAAGCUCCUGGCCUGCCUGGAGCCUCACUUCAGGAUCAACAGCUAAAGCAGAGACUGUCACUCUGCCCAGGAGAAACCAGAGCGUGUGCUUCCCCCACUCCUCUGCCUCUCUCUUCUCCCCUGCACACACCCACCUACCUUUCCCUGGGGACCAUUCGCCUACUGGUCUGUUGGUUCAUCAGCUUGCACCUGUCUGCCAUGAUGCUUCUGCCUUUAGACUUCUGUAAUGCGCUGUUUCCAGUCUAGAACCUGACUCUCUGUCCCUUUUCCAGACCAACAGCUAUUAUUUGCUUCUCAUUAUCAGCAUCACAGUGGGGCCUUUCCUAAUCCCCAAGACAGAGUUAACUGUUCCUUCGACAUAUGUGCCCUAUUACAUACUGUGCCCAUUGCCUUGGGUUGGAACAGCUAUCUUCCUCACCAGAGGAAACUCCCUGGCAGAUUCUGGGUUUUGUUCACUAUUGAUCUCCACUACUAGCCCAGUAUGUAGUAGGCCUCAAUAAUAUUAGUUCAAUAUUGUUCUAGACCCUAUAAGAACU